GAUGAAGAACGUAGCGAAAUGCGAUAAGUAAUGUGAAUUGCAGAAUUCAGUGAAUCAUCGAAUCUUUGAACGCACCUUGCACCCUUUGGUAUUCCGAAGGGUAUGCUCGUUUGAGUGUCAUUGUACUCUCACACUUCCGAUCGUUUGGAUCGGGAGCGGUGGACUUGGGUGUUGCUGCUUUACUGUGGCUCACCUUAAAUGCAUUAGUGCACCUUUCGGUUGGACAUAGUACGGCGUGAUAAGUGUCUUCGCCGGCACCUCACAGAGGGUGGCUGAUCGGGAGCUCUGUGCUUCAAACCGUCCUCGGACAACGGCUGACAACUUGACCUCAAAUCGAGUAGGACUACCCGCUGAACUUAAGCAUAUCAAUAAGCGGAGGA
rnacentral:misc_RNA from 1 species